rnacentral:rRNA from 1 species
GGGUCUUGGGAUAUUUGGGGUUAAGCAUCCUUGGGUUGGAAUAGUACUAGGUUGGGUGACCUCCUAGGAAGUUCAAACUCAGGAGCUU